rnacentral:rRNA from 1 species
AUUGAACGCUGGCGGCAGGCCUAACACAUGCAAGUCGAGCGGAUGAAGGGAGCUUGCUCCUGGAUUCAGCGGCGGACGGGUGAGUAAUGCCUAGGAAUCUGCCUGGUAGUGGGGGAUAACGUCCGGAAACGGGCGCUAAUACCGCAUACGUCCUGAGGGAGAAAGUGGGGGAUCUUCGGACCUCACGCUAUCAGAUGAGCCUAGGUCGGAUUAGCUAGUUGGCGGGGUAAAGGCCUACCAAGGCGACGAUCCGUAACUGGUCUGAGAGGAUGAUCAGUCACACUGGAACUGAGACACGGUCCAGACUCCUACGGGAGGCAGCAGUGGGGAAUAUUGGACAAAGGGCGAAAGCCUGAUCCAGCCAUGCCGCGUGUGUGAAGAAGGUCUUCGGAUUGUAAAGCACUUUAAGUUGGGAGGAAGGGCAGUAAGUUAAUACCUUGCUGUUUUGACGUUACCGACAGAAUAAGCACCGGCUAACUUCGUG